rnacentral:rRNA from 2 species
GCUAAAUGAUUAAUAGUUAUGUUCUUUAAAGUUAAAGAAUUUGGCGGUAUUUUAGUCUUUUCAGAGGAACCUGUUCUGUAAUCGAUAAUCCACGAUAAAUGUUACUUUAAGUUUAAGCUUGCAUAUCGUUGUAGUUAGAAUAUUUUAUAAGAAGGAUAAUGUUCAAGAUUUUAAAUUAAAAUUUAAAUCAAAUCAAGGUGUAGUUUAUAUUAAGGUAGAAAUGGGUUACAAUAAUAAUAAAAUUAAGGAUUAUUUUUUUAAAAGAAAUUUGAAUAUGGAUUUGAAAGUAAUUUUAUUUAUU